UUUUAUCUUGGCAGACUCUACUAAUGCAAAAGACUUAGAAUCUUUUCAACCUUAA
rnacentral:tRNA from 1 species